rnacentral:rRNA from 1 species
GACAGAGGGUGCAAACGUUGUUCGGAAUUACUGGACGUAAAGCGUGUGUAGGCGGUCCGCUAAGUCGGGUGUGAAAGCCCUGGGCUCAACCCAGGAAGUGCACUCGAAACUGGCGGGCUAGAGUAUCGGAGAGGUUGGUGGAAUUCUCGGUGUAGAGGUGAAAUUCGUAGAUAUCGAGAGGAACACCGGUGGCGAAGGCGGCUAUCUGGACCGACAUUGACGCUGAGGCGCGAAAGCGUGGGGAGCAAACAGG